rnacentral:rRNA from 1 species
ACGGGAGGCAGCAGUGAGGAAUAUUCGUCAAUGGGCGUAAGCCUGAACCAGCCAAGUCGCGUGAGGGAUGAAGGUUCUAUGGAUCGUAAACCUCUUUUAUAAGGGAAUAAAGUGUGGGACGUGUCCUAUUUUGUAUGUACCUUAUGAAUAAGGAUCGGCUAACUCCGUGCCAGCAGCCGCGGUAAUACGGAGGAUCCGAGCGUUAUCCGGAUUUAUUGGGUUUAAAGGGUGCGUAGGCGGCCUUUUAAGUCAGCGGUGAAAGUCUGUGGCUCAACCAUAGAAUUGCCGUUGAAACUGGGGGGCUUGAGUAUGUUUGAGGCAGGCGGAAUGCGUGGUGUAGCGGUGAAAUGCUUAGAUAUCACGCAGAACCCCGAUUGCGAAGGCAGCCUGCCAAGCCAUGACUGACGCUGAUGCACGAAAGCGUGGGGAUCAAACAGGAUUAGAUACCCUGGUAGUCCACGCAGUAAACGAUGAUCACUAGCUGUUUGCGAUACAGUGUAA